rnacentral:rRNA from 1 species
GACGAAGGAUCCAAGCGCUAUCCGGAUUUAUUGGGUUUAAAGGGUGCGUAGGCGGAUUGAUAAGUCAGUGGUGAAAGCCUGCAGCUUAACUGCAGAACUGCCAUUGAUACUGUCAAUCUUGAAUAUGUUUGAUGUGGGCGGAAUAUGACAUGAAGCGGUGAAAUGCUUAGAUAUGUCAUAGAACACCGAUUGCGAAGGCAGCUCACAAAGCCAUUAUUGACGCUGAGGCACGAAAGCGUGGGGAUCAAACAGG